rnacentral:lncRNA from 1 species
AAAGCUAAUUAGGAAAAAACGGUGGGAAGACAUGAAUAUAUCACGCGUCGAAAACACACCUACCCGAAGGGUUUUAGUCUUUUAGAGAGAAAACAAAGAGAUGUGAGUUUGGUUUGGUUUUGUGUUUUUUUUGGGAGGGGGGUUGGUAGGGUUUGAGGUCCAUAUGCCUCGAUCUUCCUCUUCUUUCACUUUAACCUUUCUUACAAAACUGUCUAAUUAUUCCACUACGUCGGAUCGAAUCAUGCACUUAUAAAUAUUAUAUAUAUAGAUAUGUAUGUACAAGCACAGCUACGUAGAUGGAUUCAGU